UGAGACUAAGCCUGCGAGUCAACCCGCAAGGGUGGCGGACGGCUCAGUAACACGUAGUCAACCUGCCCUAGGGACGUGGAUAACCACGGGAAACUGUGGCUAAACCACGAUAGGUCAUCGCUGCCGGAAUGGGCAAUGCUCAAACCUACAUCGCCAUAGGAUGGGACUGCGGUCUAUCAGCUUGUUGGUGAGGUAAUGGCCCACCAAGGCUAUAACAGAUACGGGCUCUGAGAGGAGGGGCCCGGAGAUGGGUGCUGAGACACGGACCCAGGUCCUAUGGGGCGCAGCAGGCGAGAAACCUUUGCAAUGUGCGAAAGCACGACAAGGUUAAUCCGAGUGAUCCCUGCUAAAGGAAUCUUUUGUUAGUCAUAAAACCACUGAUGAAUAAGGGGUGGGCAAGUUCUGGUGUCAGCCGCGGCGGUAAUACCAGCACCUCGAGUGGUCAGGAGGUUUAUUGGGCCUAAAGCAUCCGUAGCCGGCUGUUCAAGUUUCCGGUUAAAUCCACACGCUUAACGUAUGGGCUGCCGGAAAUACUGUUCAGCUAGGGAGUGGGAGAGGUAGACGGUACUCGAUAGGUAGGGGUAAAAUCCUUUGAUCUAUUGAUGACCACCUGUGGCGAAGGCGGUCUACCAGAACACGUUCGACGGUGAGGGAUGAAAGCUGGGGGAGCAAACCGGAUUAGAUACCCGGGUAGUCCCAGCUGUAAACUAUGCAAACUCAGUGAUGCAUUGGCUUGUGGCCAAUGCAGUGCUGCAGGGAAGCAGUUAAGUUUGCCGCCUGGGAAGUACGUACGCAAGUA
rnacentral:rRNA from 1 species